UUCGCUGACGAGUGGCGGACGGGUGAGUAAUGUCUGGGAAACUGCCUGAUGGAGGGGGAUAACUACUGGAAACGGUAGCUAAUACCGCAUAACGUCGCAAGACCAAAGAGGGGGACUUUCGGGCCUCUUGCCAUCGGAUGUGCCCAGAUGGGAUUAGCUAGUAGGUGGGGUAACGGCUCACCUAGGCGACGAUCCCUAGCUGGUCUGAGAGGAUGACCAGCCACACUGGAACUGAGACACGGUC
rnacentral:rRNA from 1 species